rnacentral:tRNA from 1 species
GGCUCAGUUGGUAGAGCAUGGCGUUUGCAACGCCAGGGUUGUGGGUUCGUUUCCCAC